rnacentral:rRNA from 1 species
UGCUUUUUAAGCUUAGUGGCGAACGGGUGAGUAACGCGUGAGUAACCUGCCCUAGAGUGGGGGACAACAGUUGGAAACGACUGCUAAUACCGCAUAAGCCCACGGUACCGCAUGGUACUGAGGGAAAAGGAUUUAUUCGCUUUAGGAUGGACUCGCGUCCAAUUAGCUAGUUGGUGAGGUAACGGCCAACCAAGGCGACGAUUGGUAGCCGGACUGAGAGGUUGAACGGCCACAUUGGGACUGAGACACGGCCCAGACUCCUACGGGAGGCAGCAGUGGGGGAUAUUGCACAAUGGGGGAAACCCUGAUGCAGCGACGCCGCGUGGAGGAAGAAGGUUUUCGGAUUGUAAACUCCUGUCGUUAGGGACGAUAAUGACGGUACCUAACAAGAAAGCACCGGCUAACUACGUGCCAGCAGCCGCGGUAAAACGUAGGGUGCAAGCGUUGUCCGGAAUUACUGGGUGUAAAGGGAGCGCAGGCGGGAAGACAAGUUGGAAGUGAAAACCAUGGGCUCAACCCAUGAAUUGCUUUCAAAACUGUUUUUCUUGAGUAGUGCAGAGGUAGAUGGAAUUCCCGGUGUAGCGGUGGAAUGCGUAGAUAUCGGGAGGAACACCAGUGGCGAAGGCGGUCUACUGGGCACCAACUGACGCUGAGGCUCGAAAGCAUGGGUAGCAAACAGGAUUAGAUACCCUGGUAGUCCAUGCCGUAAACGAUGAUUACUAGGUGUUGGGGGGAUUGACCCCCUCAGUGCCGCAGUUAACACAAUAAGUAAUCCACCUGGGGAGUACGACCGCAAGGUUGAAACUCAAAGGAAUUGACGGGGGCCCGC